AUUGAACGCUGGCGGCAUGCUUUACACAUGCAAGUCGAGCGGCAGCACGGGGGCAACCCUGGUGGCGAGCGGCGAACGGGUGAGUAAUACAUCGGAACAUGCCCAGUCGUGGGGGAUAACACUUCGAAAGAAGUGCUAAUACCGCAUACGUCCUGAGGGAGAAAGCGGGGGAUCUUCGGACCUCGCGCGAUUGGAGUGGCCGAUGUCAGAUUAGCUAGUUGGUGGGGUAAAGGCCUACCAAGGCAACGAUCUGUAGCUGGUCUGAGAGGAUGAUCAGCCACACUGGGACUGGGACACGGCGCAGACUCCUACGGGAGGCAGCAGUGGGGAAUUUUGGACAAUGGGGGCAACCCUGAUCCAGCCAUUCCGCGUGAGUGAAGAAGGCCUUCGGGUUGUAAAGCUCUUUCGGCAGGAACGAAACGGCGAGCUCUAACAUAGCUUGCUAAUGACGGUACCUGAAGAAGAAGCACCGGCUAACUACGUGCCAGCAGCCGCCGUAAUAC
rnacentral:rRNA from 1 species